CGAGAUCAAAGGCAAACGGAGUGCAAGCUCCGGACGCAAAGCUUCAGACCCUAACCUGAAGUCCAGGAGGGUGGCUGGGUUCCCUCA
rnacentral:ncRNA from 1 species